AUGAGGGAGAACCAGGUUUUUGUACGACGGCUCAGUGAGUGUGUGUCACUGUGGAACACGUGUGGUGGAGGAACCAGACUGGACAUUGGAAGUGACGUCCGCCCCAGCCUGACGGUGCUGCCCCCCUCCAGCGAGGAGCUGCAGCAGGGGACGGCCUCGCUCGUGUGCCUGGCCAACAAGGGCUUCCCCUCCGACUGGACUCUGUCCUGGAAGGUGGACGGCAGCAGCGGCGGUGGGGGGGGCUGGGAGGAGAGCAGCGGCCCCGGGGUGCUGGAGAGCGACGGGCGCUACAGCUGGAGCAGCACCCUGAGGCUCCCUGCUGAGCAGUGGAGCAAGGCGGGCUCUGUGACCUGCGAGGCCUCCCAGGGCUCCCAGACUCCGCUGUCAGAGACCCUGAGGAGAGACCAGUGUGCCCAGUCCUGACCUGGGACUCUGCUACUGGUCUCAGUCUCUUCGCUGCUCUGAUCCAAAUCGAUCUUAAUCGACUGAUGACUUCUUGCUUUGAAUGUUCUGGUUCUUUGACCUGUUUCAAAUAAUAAAGAUCUUUGUUUCUGAAUCAAAA